rnacentral:rRNA from 1 species
UAGGGAAUAUUGGACAAUGGGCGAAAGCCUGAUCCAGCAAUGCCGCGUGAGUGAGGAAGGCCUUAGGGUUGUAAAGCUCUUUCGCACGCGACGAUGAUGACGGUAGCGUGUAAAGAAGCCCCGGCUAACUUCGUGCCAGCAGCCGCGGUAAUACGAAGGGGGCAAGCGUUGUUCGGAAUUACUGGGCGUAAAGGGCGCGUAGGCGGCCUUGUUUGUCAGGCGUGAAAGCCCUGGGCUCAACCCAGGAAUUGCGCUUGGGACGGCAAGGCUUGAGUUCGGGAGAGGAGAGUGGAAUUCCCAGUGUAGAGGUGAAAUUCGUAGAUAUUGGGAAGAACACCGGUGGCGAAGGCGGCUCUCUGGACCGAUACUGACGCUGAGGCGCGAAAGCGUGGGGAGCAAACAGGAUUAGAUACCCCCGUAGUCC